rnacentral:lncRNA from 1 species
CUAGCUCACAUUUUGAAUCCUAGUCGCUACCCAUUCGUAGACACUCAUAGUAAUCCGUAGACACCCGUAGACAUAAACGCUCAUAAAAAAACGAAAUCCUAGAUCUGCAAUCACAGCCGCUAGCCAUAGCCAUGUCCUACAUAUCCCAUACCCACCCCCCACCAUAUCCGCGACCACAACCACAACCACUUUAACCGCCUCUAUACCGGUCGACUCCAUAGCCGGCCCUAGACCAACCAUCCAUGAUAGCCGCCUUCAUACCCACCGUCGCCAUAGCCGCCGCCGGCCAGGUCCACCACCCGUCACGGCCGUUUCUAUAACCAAGCAAAGAUCCAUCUCAAAAGAGCAUACCAGUCGUUGCCAUUCACCAUAUUCGACUUUAUAAUCAAC